CUCUAAUAGUUGUAGCACCAGAGAAUGAUUCUGCAAAAUGAUGAAGGAUUGGAGAUCUUUGAAUUUCUGACAACCGAGCCAAUUCUCUUGCGGUCGGUAUGUAGUAUUGCUGCAUCAGCCAUUGUCAAGAAUUCAAUCUUCAAAUCACCAAAAUGAUUUAGUCAACCAUUAUACCUGAAUAUCUAACUAUGGUUAAGUUGAUUUCUGUACACCUGUACACAGAUCUACUUUUGCUUAUUGCAUGUCAUAUAUAAUGGCAGACAAAAUCAUGGCAAACUAAAUUUUAAAAAAUAAUAUUAAUAACUGGUCAAAUUAUUCCUUUUAAAAUUCUAGCAUUUCUGGUGGGACCAAUAUCUGAUUGUGAUAAUGAAUCUUGAUGUUUGUUUUUUUUUCUUUUGAGUGAGAGAGUGCUCUUACUUGAUACCAUAUACAGAUUGCUGAUACUGGAAUGAGUAUUGCAAAAGUUGGCCAAGCAACCUGUGACAUAACUGCAAUGGUCCCUAGGAUCUGUAUAACUGAAAAUGCACACCACGCCAACCUUGCUGCUAAUUCUAAGUCAAGCACACUUUGAUCUGUCGAGGCCUACAUGAAAUUUACAAAUAAUCAAUUAGUCAUCUUAAGCACAAUGUUCUAUGAAUAUAUAUGAUGCAGGAGCUACAUGAAUGAGAGAUUAAACUAAGUACUAACCCUGUUUAAGAUCCUCCCAGAAGGCGUUGAAUCAAAGAAGGACAUUGGAGCACGGAGAACAGAGUGGAGCAUCUUUUGGAAAAAUUUUUGAGAUGUCAAAAGGCCAACUUUUAUAAGUAUUGUUGCUCGGAUCAACGAACACAGUGAACAUCCAACUGAAAGAAGCACAUACACCAGAAAGAGAAACUUGAGCCCCAC
rnacentral:lncRNA from 1 species